AAAAAAAACGAAAUAACUUGCGAAAUUCUGACUUUUAACAGUCACUGGACAACAAUGUAUGAAUGUUCUGCCCCGAGAAAGUGCUCAAGUCAUUGUUUCCUGUCGGACUUUUAAAAUGACGGUCGGUGUUCUUGACAAGCUGCAACAACGAUAGAAAUCCACAGAUUAACUCCAGGCUGACCAUAUUCUGAAAUCCCAAAAAGAGGACACAUAUAGCAAUGUUGGUGCUAGGAAUUUUCAAAAUGGGGUUCCAGGGACCCCAUCAAGUCAUAAAAAUGGGGUCCCACAGUAAAUUUUUGGGGUCCACUUUUUUGCAAGUGUUUUGAAAACAAAUCAUAACGGUCUGCAUUGUCCUGUUAUCUCACAUUCUAUAUUGUGUUUUGGAGAAAAAGGUUGUCAUAAACGUUACUUAAUUCAUUAAAAGAAAUAAUAUAAAAAGAAGACACAUUUGUAUGCAUAUGUAAAUGUAUUCUGUGAUAAACAUUCAUUCACUUUCUUCUUUCCUUCAUGGAUCUAAACUUUACCGCUGCUGGUAUUUUUUCUAUGUUUUUAUUUUUUAUAAGUUGCAGGUGUUUUUAUUUCAGUA